rnacentral:tRNA from 1 species
GGUGGUUCAGUGGUAGAACGCUUGCCUUGCAUGCAUGAGGCCCUGGGUUCGAUUCCCCAGCACCA